rnacentral:rRNA from 1 species
AUUGAACGCUGGCGGCAUGCCUUACACAUGCAAGUCGAACGGCAGCACGGGUGCUUGCACCUGGUGGCGAGUGGCGAACGGGUGAGUAAUACAUCGGAACAUGUCCUGUAGUGGGGGAUAGCCCGGCGAAAGCCGGAUUAAUACCGCAUACGAUCUACGGAUGAAAGCGGGGGACCUUCGGGCCUCGCGCUAUAGGGUUGGCCGAUGGCGGAUUAGCUAGUUGGUGGGGUAAAGGCCUACCAAGGCGACGAUCAGUAGCUGGUCUGAGAGGACGACCAGCCACACUGGGACUGAGACACGGCCCAGACUCCUACGGGAGGCAGCAGUGGGGAAUUUUGGACAAUGGGCGAAAGCCUGAUCCAGCAAUGCCGCGUGUGAGAAGAAGGCCUUCGGGUUGUAAAGCACUUUUGUCCGGAAAGAAAUCCUUGGCCCUAAUACGGUCGGGGGAUGACGGUACCGGAAGAAUAAGCACCGGCUAACUACGUG